rnacentral:rRNA from 1 species
GACGAACGCGGGCGGCGUGCUUAACACAUGCAAGUCGAACGGAAAGUCCUUUUCGGUGGUCCUCGAGUGGCGAACGGGUGAGUAACACGUGGGUGAUCUGCCCUGCACUCUGGGAUAAGCCUGGGAAACUGGGUCUAAUACCGCAUAGGACCGCACUUUAGCGUGUGUGGUGGAUAGUGUUUUCGGUGUAGGUUGAGCACGGGGCCUAUCAGCUUGAUGGUGGGGUAAUGGCCUACUAAGGCGGCGGCGGGUAGACGGGCUGAGAGGUUGGGCGGCCACAAUGGGAAUGAGACACGGCACUGUCUUCUACCGGGAGCACCAGUGCGUAAUGCUGCAAAACGGGCGCAAGCCUGACCUAGCGACGCUGGGUGGGGGAAGACCGGCUUCGGGUUGUAAACUCCGUUCGCCAGGGAGCAAGCGGUCUAUCACGGUACCUGGAGAAGAAUCAACGGCUAACCACAUG